rnacentral:rRNA from 1 species
CCAAUAGCGUAUAUUAAAGUUGUUGCAGUUAAAAAGCUCGUAGUUGAAUUUCGGGGUUAGUAAGUUGGUCAUGCCUUUGGUAUGCACUGGCUUUACUGAUUCCUCCUUCUUGACGAACCGUGAUGUCAUUAAUUUGGUGUUGCGGGAAAUCAGGACUGUUACUUUGAAAAAAUUAGAGUGUUUAAAGCAGGCUAACGCUUGAAUACAUUAGCAUGGAAUAAUGAAAUAGGACGUUAAUCCUAUUUUGUUGGUUUCUAGGAUCGACGUAAUGAUUAAUAGGGAUAGUUGGGGGAAUUAGUAUUCAAUUGUCAGAGGUGAAAUUCUUGGAUUUAUUGAAGACUAACUACUGCGAAAGCAUUUGCCAAGGAUGUUUUCAUUAAUCAAGAACGAAAGUUAGGGGAUCGAAGACGAUCAGAUACCGUCGUAGUCUUAACCAUAAACUACGCCGACUAGGGAUCGGAUGAUGUUAAUUCUUUAAUGACUCAUUCGGCGCCUUACG